CCAUUUUAGGCCACUUUUCUCACCCUUUCAUCCGUUACUUGUACUUAAACACAAUUAUAUACAAUUUACAACCAACCAAUCAACCAAUUUAUGCCCAUAAUAUGUAUUUUAUAUUAACACACUACUACUUAAUGAUUAAACUAAUUUUCAUACACAUUUGCCAUCCCCUUUUAUAUACUAUAACCAUCUAUAACUUAUCCAACCAAAUACUUAUACAUGCC
rnacentral:lncRNA from 1 species